UGUAUAAUGCACCUGUCAAUUGUAGAGCCAAGCUGGGAGCUGCCUAAAAAUCAGUUACCCAGUUAGCUCAGUUUGACAGAUCUCCAUGCAAGUGUUCACAUGGUCGUGGGUUCAAGCACCAUACCAGUAGCAUCUUUUCUCAAAGGUUUACUUUAGAACCCAUCAUCCAGGAGUAAACAAUUAUGAUUUUUUUUAUUAAAUAUUACAGGCCAUGUUCUUUUGUAAACUUUCAGAUUGAGAAGUGCCUGGAUACAAGGCUAGUAUUGUUAACAUCAUCUGAUACAAUCAACUGGAACAAAGCUGAAAUGGCUGCCUGACCUGACUUAAAAAUUGGAUGGCAGUACAUCAGACUAGAAGAUUACAAGUAUUGAGGUGGACAAAAUGAAACCUGAGCCUACCAAAGCUGACAGAUUGCACAAGAAACACAUAAAUGCAGAUUGGAAGAUUCAUUCUCUGGAAAGUAGAAAAGGGCAUGUUACAUACUGUUAUCACUGCCAUGACAGAAACCAUAUUGAGGAGCUGGUCCACCUGUAGGAAGAAUUGCGCUAUUGGUUGGAGCAGCACUAUUACCCAGUCAUACACCAGCACUUAGUUUGUCAUAGGGAGCAUUUCAGAGCAGUUAUGGAGACCACUAACUAUGCAGUUGUUGCAGUGAAACUUGCACCAGUGUGUUUUCUGUGGAGAUAAAGAGAUAGUGUCCAGCAAUGAAGACCCAACUCAAGAUCUGACCUUGUAAGGCCAAUAUGAAAUAACUGUGUGGGAAAAUGGGAAAAACCUGCAGUCAGGAAUGCACGGAAAUCGU